CACUUGUCGGCGCCGCAUACCAUUAUCUAGACAAAUGCAUGCGCAAUGUGCCUCAACCCCUAUUACCGUACGGCGCCUGCCUAGUCGCAAGCGCAGCAGGUGCAGCGGCCGGCGCCAACAAACCUGCACCACUGCACCGCCUCCCAGCGCCAGCACGCGCACACAAUACCGUACUACCGAAAUGCCUACGCUUCUUGCCCCUGCGCUGGUGCCACAGCACGCAUUGAGCACAGCGCUGCAGGUCACCACGUGCAUAUCUAGCUGCUAGUACAUACAUACACGCAGCGGCGGCUCCUACGUACCUUUCCCUAAGGAUGCGCAUCUGCGCUCCCUUUGCAGCCUCCGCCUGCCUGCCCCGCACGCCGUAUACACACCGUACACACACACACACACACACGUACAUACACACAAGGAACACGACAACGCAUAUGUAAAACGAGGGUAAAGAAC
rnacentral:lncRNA from 1 species